rnacentral:rRNA from 1 species
AGAGUUUGAUCCUGGCUCAGAACGAACGCUGGCGGCGUGGAUAAGACAUGCAAGUCGAACGAGAGAAUUGCUAGCUUGCUAAUAAUUCUCUAGUGGCGCACGGGUGAGUAACACGUGAGUAACCUGCCCCCGAGAGCGGGAUAGCCCUGGGAAACUGGGAUUAAUACCGCAUAGAAUCGCAAGAUUAAAGCAGCAAUGCGCUUGGGGAUGGGCUCGCGGCCUAUUAGUUAGUUGGUGAGGUAACGGCUCACCAAGGCGAUGACGGGUAGCCGGUCUGAGAGGAUGUCCGGCCACACUGGAACUGAGACACGGUCCAGACACCUACGGGUGGCAGCAGUCGAGAAUCAUUCACAAUGGGGGAAACCCUGAUGGUGCGACGCCGCGUGGGGGAAUGAAGGUCUUCGGAUUGUAAACCCCUGUCAUGUGGGAGCAAAUUAAAAAGAUAGUACCACAAGAGGAAGAGACGGCUAACUCUGUGCCAGCAGCCGCGGUAAUACAGAGGUCUCAAGCGUUGUUCGGAAUCACUGGGCGCAAAGCGUGCGUAGGCUGUUUCGUAAGUCGUGUGUGAAAGGCGCGGGCUCAACCCGCGGACGGCACAUGAUACUGCGAGACUAGAGUAAUGGAGGGGGAACCGGAAUUCUCGGUGUAGCAGUGAAAUGCGUAGAUAUCGAGAGGAACACUCGUGGCGAAGGCGGGUUCCUGGACAUUAACUGACGCUGAGGCACGAAGGCCAGGGGAGCGAAAGGGAUUAGAUACCCCUGUAGUCCUGGCAGUAAACGGUGCACGCUUGGUGUGCGGGGAAUCGACCCCCUGCGUGCCGGAGCUAACGCGUUAAGCGUGCCGCCUGGGGAGUACGGUCGCAAGAUUAAAACUCAAAGGAAUUGACGGGGACCCGCACAAGCGGUGGAGCAUGUGGUUUAAUUCGAAGCAACGCGAAGAACCUUACCAAAUCUUGACAUCCCUCUGACCGGUCUUUAAUCGGACCUUCUCUUCGGAGCAGAGGUGACAGGUGGUGCAUGGUUGUCGUCAGCUCGUGUCGUGAGAUGUUGGGUUAAGUCCCGCAACGAGCGCAACCCCUAUCCUCAGUAGCCAGCAUUUAAGGUGGGCACUCUGGGGAGACUGCCAGGGAUAACCUGGAGGAAGGCGGGGAUGACGUCAAAUCAUCAUGCCCCUUAUGAUUUGGGCUACACACGUGCUACAAUGGCGUAAACAAAGGGAAGCGAGAUUGUGAGAUGGAGCAAAUCCCAAAAAUAACGUCCCAGUUCGGACUGUAGUCUGCAACCCGACUACACGAAGCUGGAAUCGCUAGUAAUCGCGGAUCAGAAUGCCGCGGUGAAUACGUUCCCGGGUCUUGCACACACCGCCCGUCA